rnacentral:lncRNA from 1 species
GUCUGUGCUCACUAGGUGCUUGUGGGGAGGAUACAUUUCUCACCUAAACUGUGGGAGAUCCUCUGCCUUUGCCUGAGAAUGACCCAACUGCUUGAUUCUCCACUCACUACUCACUCCCUCCCACUGCCUUUCUUACCUUUAUUCAAUAUGCAGAAGAUACCCAAGUGGUCUUAGAUUAAAAUUCUGAGCCCCCAAAGCAGAUUUCAGAAAGGAACAUCAUCAUGCUUUUGGGAUUGUGAAAUAAAGCCACACUGGACCUCCACGCAGAGGAACUCUGUAGGUGAUCCACAUGGUUCAUUGCACCAAUCAUAUUCCCUGGCAUUUCAACUGUGGGACCACUCAAAGCAGCCCCAAGCCUGGUAUUUCUCUCUUUUGUCCUCCAUUGGAGAGCAUGGUUGUGCCAAGGCUCUCUAGCCAGGACAGCCCAUCCUCAGGCCACCCAGCUCCGUGAGUGAGUUCCCUGCAUAGCCUGUGACUGACUCACCGAUGCAGUGGGGCUGAUCUUCACAUGGCACCCCAAGCAGCCUUUUCCAGUUCACAUCUGCCAACAAGGCAGCCAAGGGGGUGGUUUAGGAAGUAGAGAAAAGGUGAAAAGGCAGCGGAGUGAGCCGGCUGUCCUGUGUCUCCUCUUUUUCCUGCCCCCAGUGACUUGCAUUUUCUCUGAGACAGCUGCCAUUCUAGUCUCCCAGCCAUUCUUAGGAAGAGACGUGCCUGGCUCUGGGAAGAGGCAACUUCUCUGCAUGUCAGAGGGCAAGAGAAUAAUGCAGUGAGUUGUUAAUGAGAAGACCUGCUCAUCUUGCUUCUGGAUCCCAAGUCCCCAGAGGACCCUGGCUCAACUCCAGCUUAGUGUUGGAACUCUAGCAGUUGGAUGCCUUGAUCUAGAGGGAAACCAGUGCUUUUCCCCAUUUAUCAUCCUCUUACAGAAGAAUUUCACUUGCAGCAACUUUGAACUGCCUCUGAACUCACUCAUGCUGCAGAAGAAUCCAUGCCUGUUUGUUGAUAUUUUGUUUUUCAUGCCUGAAGAGCACAACUGGAACAAACAAGAAGUUGGAGAAGGUGCUUGGAAUGCUGAUGGAGUUGAAUCAGCAAGAGGGCCUGACUGA